rnacentral:RNase_P_RNA from 2 species
GGCAGAGAGAGCUCGGCCACCGCGGCGGGCCGGCGCGGACUCGUCGCGCCGGCCCGCACGCGAGGAACGUCCCCCCACCGCCGGGCGGGCGACCGGGGCGACCCCGGGGCGGGAGACCGUCGGCUCUGGAACAGCAACGAGACCCCUCCACCCGACCGAUGAGGUGCGGGAGGGACAUCCCUCCUGCUCGCGAACCCCGCGCAGAAGGCAGCCGCCGAGAAAGCAACGGGGAGUUGACCAACCGAGGAUCGUGCGGCGACCGACGCCGCCGACGGUGGAGAACGGAUGGAACGGCGAAUCCUCGCCGGUGCAAGUCCGCGCCACGCGGCACGCGCCGCACGGUAGCCCGGCAGGGGCGCGGACGCAUAGCCGAAUGCCGGGACGAACAGAAGGGGGCGUACUCCUCUCAGCC